GUUGUUACGGGGUGCUUUCUCACCAGCAUGGGGAUUAGCAGAUUGAAGGAAGCAGCUUGGGCACAGAUAAAUCUCGAACACGCUCAUCUCUAACAGGAGGUGUUUGGCAAUAGCUGAUUUGCCCGUCCCCCUGAAAAUCAGAGACAUCAAAUGAAAGUAUCACGACAGAUUCGAGAGAAAGAGAAGAGUUACUUCUUCACACAACAUUUAAGCAGAAAAUUAAAAAGAAAGAAGGAAAACAUUAAGGACAAAUGACAGCAAAAGAAAGACUACAGAAACAUCUGAACAAGAAAAGAAACAAUUUGUGUGAUGGGAACAAAAGGUAACAUAAAAGGUGGAGUAUUU